AGCGUAGACGGAGUGGCAAGUCUGAUGUGAAAACCCGGGGCUCAACCCCGGGACUGCAUUGGAAACUGUCAAUCUAGAGUACCGGAGAGGUAAGCGGAAUUCCUAGUGUAGCGGUGAAAUGCGUAGAUAUUAGGAGGAACACCAGUGGCGAAGGCGGCUUACUGGACGGUAACUGACGUUGAGGCUCGAAAGCGUGGGGAGCAAAACA
rnacentral:rRNA from 1 species